UAAGGAAUAUUGGACAAUGGGCGCAAGCCUGAUCCAGCCAUGCCGCGUGAAGGAUGAAGGCCCUCUGGGUCGUAAACUUCUUUUAUACGGGAAAAAACCCCUCGAUGCGUUGAGGGUUGAUGGUACUGUAAGAAUAAGGGUCGGCUAACUUCGUGCCAGCAGCCGCGGUAAUACGAAGGACCCGAGCGUUAUCCGGAUUUAUUGGGUUUAAAGGGUGCGUAGGCGGAUUAGUAAGUCAGUGGUGAAAGCCCGUCGCUUAACGGCGGAAUUGCCAUUGAUACUGCUAGUCUUGAGUAUGGUUGAGGUGGGCGGAAUGUGUCAUGUAGCGGUGAAAUGCUUAGAUAUGACACAGAACACCGAUUGCGAAGGCAGCUCGCUAAGCCUUAACUGACGCUGAGGCACGAAAGCGUGGGGAGCAAACAGGAUUAGAUACCCUGGUAGUCCACGCCCUAAACGAUGAUAACUCGUUGUUGGCGAUAUACAGUCAGCGACUAAGCGAAAGCAUUAAGUUAUCCACCUGGGGAGUACGACCGCAAGGUUG
rnacentral:rRNA from 1 species